CUCUCCCAUAUGGUCGACCUGCAGGCGGCCGCGAAUUCACUAGUGAUUGUUUGAUCCUGGCUCAGGAUGAACGCUAGCGACAGGCCUAACACAUGCAAGUCGAGGGGUAUAAGUAGCUUGCUACUUAGAGACCGGCGCACGGGUGAGUAACGCGUAUGCAACCUACCUUUUACUGGGGGAUAGCCCAAAGAAAUUUGGAUUAAUACCGCAUAAUAUAUUUGAAUCGCAUGGUUUAAAUAUUAAAACUUCGGUGGUAAAAGAUGGGCAUGCGUAGCAUUAGUUUGUUGGUGAGGUAACGGCUCACCAAGACUAUGAUGCUUAGGGGGUCUGAGAGGAUAGUCCCCCACACUGGUACUGAGACACGGACCAGACUCCUACGGGAGGCAGCAGUGAGGAAUAUUGGUCAAUGGGCGCAAGCCUGAACCAGCCAUGUCGCGUGCAGGAUGACGGCCCUAUGGGUUGUAAACUGCUUUUUUACAGGAAUAAACUUUGCUACGUGUAGCAAACUGAAGGUACUGUAAGAAUAAGGAUCGGCUAACUCCGUGCCAGCAGCCGCGGUAAUACGGAGGAUCCAAGCGUUAUCCGGAUUUAUUGGGUUUAAAGGGUCCGUAGGCGGGCUUUUAAGUCAGUGGUGAAAUCCCAGAGCUCAACUCUGGAACUGCCAUUGAUACUGAAGGUCUUGAAUUUAGUUGAGGUGGGCGGAAUACGUUAUGUAGCGGUGAAAUGCAUAGAUAUAACGUAGAACACCGAUUGCGAAGGCAGCUCACUAAGCUAACAUUGACGCUGAUGGACGAAAGCGUGGGGAGCGAACAGGAUUAGAUACCCUGGUAGUCCACGCCGUAAACGAUGAUUACUCGUUGUGCACGAUACACUGUGCGUGACUGAGCGAAAGC
rnacentral:rRNA from 1 species